AAACUUAGGAAAAAAAGCAGAGAAGAAUUUGCAUAUUUUGUAAAGAAAUUUUUUGUUAUUUACCUUGACAUAUUAAAAGUCGACACAAAUUCGAGCCAAGAGUUGUAAAUUUAAACAAAGAACUUUUAAAAAAAAAACUUAAUCUAAUAAGAAGAAAAGGGAUAAUACAGUUCAACAUAGAACAAGCCAAAAAAGCUACACCAACUUACCAAGUGGAAAAAAGAUCUAAUAUUAAAAUAAACAAACAAAAUGAAUUCAAUUUAACAACAUGUAGUAACUGCCACACUACAUUAUUGAAGCAUAAUUAUCCACGACAUAAAAAAAAUGCCAAAGAACAACAAGUAACCCAAUUUUUAAAACACCAAUAACGGGCACAAAGGUUACAAUACCAAAUACAAAUAAUCCAUUACUUAAUUUUAUUAUAGACGACCCUUUAUUUACAAGAAACAUCCUGUGCAAAUUAAGAGAUGAUGAAAUUGGAAAAUUAUGUCGAAAUGACACAGCUCUUCUAUGCAUUGCAUAUGAGUUUUUUGACAAAAUUAAAAGUAAAAGAGACAAAGCAGAAGAAGUAGGUCCCAAAUAAGAAAAAAUAUAAGAAGUCUAGCCAAACUGUUUUAAGUUUUUAGUAAAGAAAAAGAAAUUAUCAAAACAUACAACAAUGCAGCCAACAUGUUUGAAAGGAAAAUUUUUUAUUAUUUUAGAUGUGCUGUCGAUACCUACACACAAAAUCCAAAUGGUGAAAACUCAAAUAUAAAACCAGGACUUAAAAAAACAUUAUACUAUCUUAUAAAAAACGCAGCAGAACAUAUAAGAGCCUUUUACAUUUCAACAAGAGGAGAUGAACAGGUAAAGGAGCUGGGACUAUUUAUCGAUUUAUUGAGAUCAAAAAAAAAUUAUAUAUUUGGUGAUGCUGAUUAUGAACUGGACAGAAAUCAGCAUUUAAAUCUUAGAAAACCAGAUAAGAUGCCGCUGGAAGAGAAUAUGCAAACUUUGAGAAGUUACGUUAUAAAUUCGAUGAAUAAAACAGUUUUUAAUAACAACUAUCAAUUUGACAAAGACUCAAGUACUUUUGUGCGACUUCGAAACUAUGCAUGCAUAAGGUUAACAACAUUUAAUAGGAAACGAGGAGGAGAACCGGCACGAGUGACUUUACAAAAUCGGAAAGAAUGUGAAAAUAAGGAAUUCCUUGACAAACAAAGGAACAAGGAUAUGAUUGAAAAGUAUGAAAGUUUAUUUAAUUUUUUUAAAAUUAUAUUUGUGGAAGGUAAAGGUUGAAAGACAGUGGGGAUACUAGUUCCCUUUGACACCAUUUCAGCUCUAAAAAAACUUGCGAAUGAAAACUUUCGAGAAGUAGCAGGAGUAUCAAAAACUAAUAAAUACUUAUUUGCAAGUACACAAAACUCAGAAGACCAUAUAAUAGGCUGGCAUUCAGUUAAAACAGUAAUAUCAAAGCUGAACCUUAUUAACCCAAAUACAAUAUAUGUUACAAGUAACCGACAUAGAAUCAGUUAUCUACAUGCAAAUCUGGACGUUCCAGAAACAGAAAGAGAACUAUUUUAUGAAUAUAUGGGACAUUCAAAAGAAACAAAAUAAAACAUGCUACCAAACUCCAUUAUCAGCAAAAUAUAUAGCAUUAGUUGGAAAGCAACUAAAAGAGUUUGAUUCCGGUGAGAGUUCAUCAUCAUCAAUAAAAAAAAAGAUAAUACAGCAGACACUCAUGAUGAUAGCGAUGAUUAUGAAGACAAAGAUCAAGAUGAUACAGCAGACAUUCAUGAUGAUAGCGACGAUUACGAAGACAAAGACCAAGGUAACGUUACUGAUACUGAUAAUGAAGAGCCGUUACAUAAAAAAAUUAAAAAUGAAAAUGAAGACGGAUAUGAUGACCAUGAUGAUGAUAUUGAUUUUAAAACCUAUACAGAAUCAAAACUAAAGAAAAAAUUUGUAUUAAGAUCAAAACUUCCAGAUU
rnacentral:lncRNA from 1 species